AUGGAAGAACCAGGGACCUCUCCUCAGCCAUCGCCAGCCAGCAUCGCCGACGGACGAGGCACCAGAUCGGGCCGGCCGGGGAUGAGUGACUCUCAAAAGGGGGCGGUGGAAGAGAGGAGAAGGGGAAACUGCCGCGACCUCUUUUUCCAGCAGCCAUCGCCAGCCAGCGUCGCCGACGGACGAGGCAUCAGAUCGGGCCAGCCGGGGAUGAGCGACUCUCAAAAGGGGCGGUGGAAGAGAGGAGAAGGGGAAACUGCCGCGACCUCUUUUUCCAGCAUCGGUUGGAUACCAGCUUCCCACAGACCAACUGACUACAUGUAUAAAAACAUAGACGGUCGAAAUCUACCUAAUAGUGCAAUUUACAAAGCAGGACAGGUUACUUCUCACCAUCCAAGCUUCAAAUCUUGUGGUAACAUGCAUGAGAUUUGGAAGCAGUCAACCAGUCAGUCACUCAGAACUUAA
rnacentral:rRNA from 1 species